rnacentral:ncRNA from 1 species
AAAACACAGCGCGAAAAAAGAUUCUCUUGAGCUCAACUCUAUUCUGACACUGAGGUGGGUUAUGAGAGAUGCUGCAUGAGUGGAGGGUUUACGGUAGUGAAACAACAUUACUUUCGUCGACUCUUCACUUGUUCAGUUAAACAAGACCUGAGUCAUAACAAUGAACUUUGUACCGGUCGCUCGAUGGUUGCACGACACACCUCUAUAACAGUGUCAGACAAGGAGUUUGACUUGGGCAGUACGUCUGUCAAAUAAUGAUGAGAGUGUCUUAGGGCUUGCUGAAAGAGGCCAAUGACUUCUCGUAGAGUAAAAAAGGCAAAAGCUCGCUAAGUUUUGAUUUUCAGCGUAAGUGCGCACGGCAAAAGCGAAGCCAAUUGAUCCUUUUAUAUUAGAAAGCUUCUAGUAGGAGGUUCCAGAAGAGUCACUAUGGGGACAACUGGCGUAUAAUAACCACUUGUCCAUAACAACGUUGCUUUUUAAUCCUUCACUGUCGGCUCUUCUUGUCAUUGCGAAACGGAAUUCGCCAAACGUUAGAUUUUUCACUCACCAGUAGGGGACGUCAGCUAGGUUUAGACCUUCGUAAGACAGGUUGAUUUUACCCACCUUGACCUUCACUGUGCUUGUAAUCUUACCCAAUACGAGAGGAACGGCAGGUUGCGAUAAUGAGUACAUGUACCCAGCGGAUACCUUACUGGUUUGAGGUCACCAUCUGCGGGAAUAUAGCUGAAAGCUUCUAUGAUAGGAUCUCGCCUAAGGAUAAACGAUGACCUCAUGCUGGGUAGGCAAAUGUUAUGUAACUGAUUUAUUGCAAUAAUGCUCCUUUUGAUGUCCUAGCCAAUUGGCUGAGAGGUUGCUUGGUCGUUAAAGCUGGAUCAAACUGGUACGGUGCUGAGGCACCUAGUGAGUUGCACAUCGAGGACAAUGAUUGAAGUGUAGUAAGCAGUAGAGCAGCUGCCAUACUGCGAUCUGCUGCCCUAACAAGCGA